rnacentral:piRNA from 1 species
UGAACAAAUGACUUAAAGCUG